CAAAGGAUAAACUUUACCAGUUUCAAGGAAGUCUGUAAGAAUACGUGUCCAGGAUCAAAAGGGCUAUGAUGGACGCCAACAAGAUGAUCAUCAAUUUGGCUGUCCUUGGCAAGACUCAGAGUGGGAAAAGUUCUGCUGGGAACGUUCUUUUGGGGAGUGCUGACUUCUACAGCAGGUUUGCUCCAGGUUCUGUAACCAAAGAUUGCAGCCUGGGUCGCAGUUGUCAUAUCCAUGGCUUCAUGCGUCGAGGAGGACACGAGAUUAGUUUGCAGAUACAGGUAUUGGACACUCCAGGGUAUCCACACAGCAAGCUGAGCACGAGAUGUGUAAAACAGGAAGUAAAGAAGGCCUUGGAGCAUCACUUUGGACAAGAGGGUCUCCAUCUU
rnacentral:lncRNA from 1 species